rnacentral:misc_RNA from 1 species
GAUGAAGAACGCAGCGAAAUGCGAUAAGUAAUGUGAAUUGCAGAAUUCAGUGAAUCAUCGAAUCUUUGAACGCACAUUGCGCCUGCCAGUACUCUGGCGGGCAUGCCUGUUCGAGCGUCAUUACAACCCUCAGGCCCCCGGGCCUGGCGUUGGGGAUCGGCGGAAGCCCCCUGCGGGCACAACGCCGUCCCCCAAAUACAGUGGCGGUCCCGCCGCAGCUUCCAUUGCGUAGUAGCUAACACCUCGCUACUGGAGAGCGGCGCGGCCACGCCGUAAAACACCCAACUUCUGAAUGUUGACCUCGAAUCAGGUAGGAAUACCCGCUGAACUUAAGCAUAUCAAUAAGCGGAGGA